rnacentral:misc_RNA from 1 species
CUGGUGGGUGCUCUACAAAAGGAACCAUCGAUAUGGCUGGCAGGACAUUCCAAGUUGUGGGAACUUCAAAAUAUGGAGGAACUAGAAAUAUGUUUUGGCAGCAUCACAAGUAUUGGUGUUGAUCACUGGUCUCCUCAUAUGGCCACUGCUUUCACCAUUGCUGAACAAGGAGGUACACCACACGAGGCAAUCAAUUGUGACACACAAGAAGAUGGUGACACCAAUGAAUGUGAAGUUUCACCGGUCAGUCCAAAUGACAAGAGACCGCCAACGCCAAGGAGUUUCCUCGUCAACUACAAGGUAAGUACUAUAGAUGUGGGUUAUCAUAAUCGACCUAGAUAUCUAGCUCUAUAUAAAGGGUGGAAGAUACCACUUAGGGCGUGA